rnacentral:rRNA from 1 species
CGUUGUUCAGCCGGCUGCCUGGCGUUGGCGUGUCUACCCUGAUCCCUGGACGGUGUGGCGCGUCAGUGUCUUGCAGACGGUCUAUUCGGCGCAGCAGCGCUGAGACCAGUGGUGCUGUGGGAGAAACUUGCUGUAGAGCACUCGCCUUGGUGAGAGAGCUGCAGUUGGGGAUGCCUAUUGGCGCUACUGGAAAGUGGCCUGGCCUGUGUGGCCUGUGAGUUGCGUUGGAGUUGUGCGAUUGCUGACUGUGGUGAACACGUUCGCCUCGGUUGUGGUUGUGCUUCUUUCUGGGUGAUUCAAAGGCUUGAUCUCAGUGUUAAAGUCAGUCACCUACCUGACCCGUCUUGAAACACGGACCAAGGAGUCUAACAUGUGCGCAAGUUUGAAGGUGUCAGCAAACUUGACAGCGCAAUGAAAGUGAAAGUCGAUCAAUCGGCUGAUAUGCGAUCCCCCCCUUAAUUGGGGAGGAGCAGCAUAGUCCGGUCCUGUCUGCUUGUCAGUGGGGCUGAGACAGAGCGUACACGUUGGGACCCGAAAGAUGGUGAAUCUAUGCCUGAGCAGGACGAAGCCAGAG